CCUCAGGGAACAGCGUAUGCACGUGAGUUAAGGGAAAUUUCAGAUAUGCGCAGAGUAGGCCCUCUCCAGUGUUUACUUCUCUCCUUAACACUCUUAAGACUUUACCGUUGAAUAUCUUAUCAAAACACGAAGUCUCUGGUAGUUUGACACAUAAACCGGGAAGACUGCGAGGAAGUUGAAGAUUCUACCGUUUUAUUUUUUUCCUUUUCGUCGACUAAGUGGUUGAAAUUCUAAUUUUUCGUACUGUUUUGUCGUUCGUUGCGCGUGGUGAAAUAUAUUGACUGAUGUAAUGUACUCAGAGCAGUUCGAAAGUACAGCAAGCUCACAAUUCACGAGGCAAAGGUGUAACAUGUACAGACAUGUCGGACAUGGAAAGAUGAGUAGUUAGAGGCUGAAAGACAUUUGUAAGAUUUUGUAGACACAACUUGCAUUCUCUUGGUAGAUCAUAAAUUGGUAGCUCCUCCCCAUAGUUCCACACCUUUAGUGCCCCUAGCUGCAUGAAUCUUGGAACUUGUCCAUCAGGUGUACUGGUAACUUCCUAAAUUACUCUGGGUUGAAUGACCUCUGUCCCUCCAGUGCAGAUGUUCCCUUGGCAGAAGCCUUCCAGUGAAGUUUAAGUUUGCGACUAUCUGCUUUUAGUGACUUAAUCAUUUCUGCAAGAACAUUGUUAAGUGGAAGACUGAAAAUGUGCUUGGCAUAGAACUCAAACAGGUUUGGAGUGGCUUCUUUACUUAUGAGUGAGCUCUGUGGUGAUGAAGCAAUUUCUUUGAUCUCAUUGAGCAAUUAAUCCAACUCUGUCCUUAGACACCAAUGUGAGAAUGUUCUGUCCAUGUAUAUGAAAGGGAUUGUUCACUGACUUUUCUUGUUGAUUUUCAGAUCUGACUGGAAUUUCAAGAAGCUUUAAAACCAAAUGCCAGAAAGGACUUUGGUAUCUCUGAUCAGCUCCCAUUCCAAACAACUUAGGAAAAGUUAACAACUCUGCUCCAUGAUCUUUGAUUACUUUAAUUGCUUCUUGUAACAUUGGCCUCUGCACUUGUUUGUGAAAAAGGUUAAUAGCUGCUGGGUCCUUCAGUGACAUCUUCACCUGUUGUGAUGUUAAAGGAAAAUAUUCUGUAGGAGACAUCAGCGUUUUGCUUAAAGUUUCAUGGUGCUUUAGAACUGUUGCUGGCCAUAACCUUGCUAGGUAACCACUGGAGAAUCCAAGUUCUGCAUCACUAGCCUGGGAUGUAUUUAGAGAUGGGAUGAUAAACUUAUCGAGGAAUUCAAACAAAAACUUGAUUUCAACUUGAAUCAUAGGACUGGAGCUCAGCUUAAUGACAUCUUGCCAAAUAGUCUGGUGGCUAUCUGAUUUUGACAAUCUUUCAAGGAGACUCUCAGCGAGCUGUAAACAAGCUUUUCCAUACUUAAGAUACCACUGGAGAGUUUCAUGACAAUAUGUCCACCUUGUGUCAAUGAAUGUCUGGGGAAGGGGUGGCUCUUUACUUAGAAUACCAAGAGAGACAUACAUAACUUUGUAUUGGCUUGGACACUCUGAUGGAGCCAAGAUAUUUUAUAGAGUAAUUGUAAAACAUGGGGGUUGCUCAUGUCACCCUUGGCCCCACACUCAGCCUGGCACAUUCUUCUCAGCAUAAUGUUUAGUACAUGUAGGAAUCAUCCUUUAAAAAAAUCUCUUUUUCAAAAAUUCUGGCAUUGUUAGCUAAAAGACCGUUUACUUUUCCCUUUUGGGUAGAGGCAUUGUUCCCAACCAACCUUGAAACAUUGGUAAUAUCAUAUUCAUUUUUUAUAACAUGGUAAUCUACAUCAGACUGGUGUUUUUCAGACCCACUUGCAGUUAGGCUGUUUCCAAGGACAUAACCUCGUGGCUUGCUCUCUAUGGGACACCAGGUGUGAACACCCACUACGUGCCUCUCCUCUCCUCCUUUGAAGGAGUUAUCGCUCCAGAGAUGAAAAUCGUACUCGGAAUAUGAAUAACUAACGAGAAAUAUUUUUGUAUAUUCAAAAUAAAUAAAUUUAAAACCCACGAUAUAUUAUAAACACCGAUUGUUUUCAAGAAAAUAGCGAAAAGCGCAGUGAAGCAUCGUUAUUAUUCAACUCUAAUUUAAAUUAAUGGAAUUUUGUAUCGUCUCAGUAAAGCAUGCAAGUAGGUGAACAUAGCAAUCAAAUUUCUGGAAGAGUUUUAGCCUCCAGUGAUUUAUCGAUAGCUUUCCACUCUAGCAUUGUAGCAAACAGACGAGCCAUGUUAUAGUUGGCUAUGUCAUAGGAUGUCACGCGUGAAUUUGAUAUUGUUAUUGUGGCGUUACGUAAUGUGUCAUGUUAGGUCGAGUGUGUGACAUCAUGACGUCAACAAAAUCACAUAAUAUGCGAGAAAAAACCUCCGAAAUAUGGUAUCCUUGGCAAUGUACUUUUACAGUGGAUCGAUAUUGUAUGAUUGUAGGUGUUUAGAGUCGGUCUGAUUGUUUACUGGUUCUAGCACAAUAAAGGACAAUUUGCUAUUUAAAACGGA